CAGAGAGGAAGUUGGGGGUCAGGUCAGUCCCAUAUUCAUAACGUUCCUCCACCAGACUCUGCUUGGCAGGUUAAGCUGGUUGGUUGGUUGGUAAGUUAUCUCUAUUGCUGUUAUUUGAUUUUCUUCAAGAUCAAGAAACCAGACUGAACAUAGAAGUGGAAUAUGAAGAGAAAUGUGCAGAAAAGAAAAACAACUUUGUGGUUUUUACUUUCUAUAUUUCCAGGCUUUCCCCAUCCUGGAGAACCCUUGGUCAGGAGAUGUGAC
rnacentral:lncRNA from 1 species